rnacentral:hammerhead_ribozyme from 1 species
GCACUGCUAACGAGUCCCAAAUAGGGCGAAACAGCUGUCCGGUGC